rnacentral:misc_RNA from 1 species
GAUGAAGAACGUAUCGAAAUGCGAUACGUAAUGUGAAUUGCAGAAUUCAGUGAAUCAUCGAAUCUUUGAACGCAUAUUGCGCUCUCUGGUAUUCCGGAGAGCAUGCUUGUUUGAGUAUCAGUAAACACCUCAACUUCCAUAUCUUUUUUGAAAUGGGAGUUGGACUUGAGUGAUCCCAACGCUUUUCCUCACCGAAAAGUGGCGGGUUACUUGAAAUGCAGGUGCAGCUGGACUUUUCUCUGAGCUAUAAGCAUAUCUAUUUAGUCUGCCUAAAAAACAGAUUAUUACCUUUGCUGCAGCUAACAUAAAGGAGAUUAGUUCUUGUGCUGACUGAUGCAGGAUUCACAAAGACAGGCUUCGGCCGACUUUGUAAACUCGAUCUCAAAUCAAGUAAGACUACCCGCUGAACUUAAGCAUAUCAAUAAGCGGAGGA